UACGAAGGGUGCAAGCGUUGUCCGGAAUUAUUGGGCGUAAAGAGCUCGUAGGCGGUUUGCCGCGUCUGAUGUGAAAACUCGGGGCUUAACUCCGGGCCUGCAGUGGAUACGGGCGGACUAGAGUGCGGUAGGGGAGACUGGAAUUCCUGGUGUAGCGGUGAAAUGCGCAGAUAUCAGGAGGAACACCGGUGGCGAAGGCGGGUCUCUGGGCCGUAACUGACGCUGAGGAGCGAAAGCGUGGGGAGCGAACAGG
rnacentral:rRNA from 1 species